rnacentral:rRNA from 1 species
UCAUGGCUCAGAUUGAACGCUGGCGGCAGGCCUAACACAUGCAAGUCGAACGGUAACAGGAAGCAGCUUGCUUCUUGCUGACGAGUGGCGGACGGGUGAGUAAUGUCUGGGAAACUGCCUGAUGGAGGGGGAUAACUACUGGAAACGGUAGCUAAUACCGCAUAACGUCGCAAGACCAAAGAGGGGGACCUUCGGGCCUCUUGCCAUCGGAUGUGCCCAGAUGGGAUUAGCUUGUUGGUGGGGUAACGGCUCACCAGGCGACGAUCCCUAGCUGGUCUGAGAGGAUGACCAGCCACACUGGAACUGAGACACGGUCCAGACUCCUACGGGAGGCAGCAGUGGGGAAUAUUGCACAAUGGGCGCAAGCCUGAUGCAGCCAUGCCGCGUGUAUGAAGAAGGCCUUCGGGUUGUAAAGUACUUUCAGCGGGGAGGAAGGGAGUAAAGUUAAUACCUUUGCUCAUUGACGUUACCCGCAGAAGAAGCACCGGCUAACUCCGUGCCAGCAGCCGCGGUAAUACGGAGGGUGCAAGCGUUAAUCGGAAUUACUGGGCGUAAAGCGCACGCAGGCGGUUUGUUAAGUCAGAUGUGAAAUCCCCGGGCUCAACCUGGGAACUGCAUCUGAUACUGGCAAGCUUGAGUCUCGUAGAGGGGGGUAGAAUUCCAGGUGUAGCGGUGAAAUGCGUAGAGAUCUGGAGGAAUACCCGGUGGCGAAGGCGGCCCCCUGGACGAAGAC